rnacentral:rRNA from 13 species
UGACGAGUGGCGGACGGGUGAGUAAUGUCUGGGAAACUGCCUGAUGGAGGGGGAUAACUACUGGAAACGGUGGCUAAUACCGCAUAACGUCGCAAGACCAAAGAGGGGGACCUUCGGGCCUCUUGCCAUCAGAUGUGCCCAGAUGGGAUUAGCUUGUUGGUGAGGUAACGGCUCACCAAGGCGACGAUCCCUAGCUGGUCUGAGAGGAUGACCAGCCACACUGGAACUGAGACACGGUCCAGACUCCUACGGGAGGCAGCAGUGGGGAAUAUUGCACAAUGGGCGCAAGCCUGAUGCAGCCAUGCCGCGUGUAUGAAGAAGGCCUUCGGGUUGUAAAGUACUUUCAGCGGGGAGGAAGGUGUUGUGGUUAAUAACCGCAGCAAUUGACGUUACCCGCAGAAGAAGCACCGGCUAACUCCGUGCCAGCAGCCGCGGUAAUACGGAGGGUGCAAGCGUUAAUCGGAAUUACUGGGCGUAAAGCGCACGCAGGCGGUCUGUCAAGUCGGAUGUGAAAUCCCCGGGCUCAACCUGGGAACUGCAUUCGAAACUGGCAGGCUUGAGUCUUGUAGAGGGGGGUAGAAUUCCAGGUGUAGCGGUGAAAUGCGUAGAGAUCUGGAGGAAUACCGGUGGCGAAGGCGGCCCCCUGGACAAAGACUGACGCUCAGGUGCGAAAGCGUGGGGAGCAAACAGGAUUAGAUACCCUGGUAGUCCACGCCGUAAACGAUGUCUACUUGGAGGUUGUGCCCUUGAGGCGUGGCUUCCGGAGCUAACGCGUUAAGUAGACCGCCUGGGGAGUACGGCCGCAAGGUUAAAACUCAAAUGAAUUGACGGGGGCCCGCACAAGCGGUGGAGCAUGUGGUUUAAUUCGAUGCAACGCGAAGAACCUUACCUGGUCUUGACAUCCACAGAAGAAUCCAGAGAUGGAUUUGUGCCUUCGGGAACUGUGAGACAGGUGCUGCAUGGCUGUCGUCAGCUCGUGUUGUGAAAUGUUGGGUUAAGUCCCGCAACGAGCGCAACCCUUAUCCUUUGUUGCCAGCGGUCCGGCCGGGAACUCAAAGGAGACUGCCAGUGAUAAACUGGAGGAAGGUGGGGAUGACGUCAAGUCAUCAUGGCCCUUACGACCAGGGCUACACACGUGCUACAAUGGCGCAUACAAAGAGAAGCGACCUCGCGAGAGCAAGCGGACCUCAUAAAGUGCGUCGUAGUCCGGAUUGGAGUCUGCAACUCGACUCCAUGAAGUCGGAAUCGCUAGUAAUCGUGGAUCAGAAUGCCACGGUGAAUACGUUCCCGGGCCUUGUACACACCGCCCGUCACACCAUGGGAGUGGGUUGCAAAAGAAGUAGGUAGCUUAACCUUCGGGAGGGCGCUUACCACUUUGUGAUUCAUGACUGGGGUGAAGUCGUAACAAGGUAACCGUAGGGGAACCUGCGGUUGGAUCACCUCCUUA